UGGGGAGUGAACGGGAUUAGAUACCCCGGUAAUCCACCCCGUAAACGAUGAACACUAGGUGUGGGUGGAGUCAAAUCCAUCCGUGCCAAAGCCAACGCGUUAAGUGUUCCGCCUGGGGAGUACGGCCGCAAGGCUAAAACUCAAAGGAAUUGACGGGGGCCCGCACAAGCAGCGGAGCGUGUGGUUUAAUUCGAUGCAACAAGAAGAACCUUACCAGGGCUUAAAUGGGAGACGACAGGACUGGAAACAGUUUUUUCUUCGGACGUCUUUCAAGGUGCUGCAUGGUUGUCGUCAGCUCGUGCCGUGAGGUGUCAGGUUAAGUCCUAUAACGAGCGCAACCCCUAUUGUUAGUUGCCAGCGGGUCAUGCCGGGAACUCUAACAAGACUGCCGGUGCAAACCGUGAGGAAGGUGGGGAUGACGUCAAAUCAUCACGGCCCUUACGUCCUGGGCUACACACGUGCUACAAUGGACGGUACAGAGAGCAGCCACUGCGCAAGCAGGCGCGAAUCUUCAAAGCCGUUCUCAGUUCGGAUCGGAGUCUGCAACUCGACUCCGUGAAGCUGGAUUCGCUAGUAAUCGCAUAUCAGCCAUGAUGCGGUGAAUACGUUCCCGGGCCUUGUACACACCGC
rnacentral:rRNA from 1 species